AAACAAGUCACAUAUUCAAAAGGAAUUACUUUAGAAGGAAUUCUUUUGUAUGUGAUUCGUUUAAAAUAACUUGUGUUAGCUAGGGUUGUUGAUGGUCUCAAAAUUGUUGAGACAUUAUCAAUAAGCUAAUGGAUCUCAAUGAUUCUCAAUGGAUCCAAGACAAGUUAGUGGGAGCAAUAUGCAUUCAAAUCAAGAAAAUUUAAUUGUUAUUUUUGAAUGAAUGCUAAGUUACAACAAGGCCAGUGGGAGUGAUGUCAUAAUUUGAGCAACAA
rnacentral:lncRNA from 1 species